rnacentral:rRNA from 1 species
GUGGAACUGCCGGUGACAAACCGGAGGAAGGUGGGGACGACGUCAAGUCAUCAUGGCCCUUAUGUCCUGGGCUACACACGUGCUACAAUGGCCGGUACAGAGCGCAGCGAAGCCGCGAGGCAAAGCGAAUCGCAAAAAGCCGGUCUCAGUACGGAUUGGAGUCUGAAACCCGACUCCAUGAAGUUGGAAUCGCUAGUAAUCGCGCAUCAGCAUGGCGCGGUGAAUACGUUCCCGGGCCUU